GCCCCUAUGGCGUAGUGGUAGCGCGUGUCACUUGUAUCCACUGAUUGCAAGAAUAUGACAAGGUCUCUCGUUCGAUCCGGGAUGGGGGCA
rnacentral:tRNA from 1 species